rnacentral:tRNA from 1 species
GGGCCCGUAGCUCAGAGGUUAGAGCGCCGGCCUUAUAAGCCGGAGGUCCGGGGUUCGAAUCCCCGCGGGCCCA